ACCGCAUCCCGUCCGAUCUGCGCAGUCAAGCACUGUACCGCUCAGUUAGUACCAUGGUGGGGGACCACAUGGGAAUCCUGGGUGCUGAAGUUU
rnacentral:rRNA from 1 species